rnacentral:rRNA from 1 species
AGCAACGCCGCGUGAGUGAUGAAGGUUUUCGGAUCGUAAAACUCUGUUGUUAGGGAAGAACAAGUGCCAUUCAAAUAGGUUGGCACCUUGACGGUACCUAACCAGAAAGCCCCGGCUAACUACGUGCCAGCAGCCGCGGUAAUACGUAGGGGGCAAGCGUUGUCCGGAAUUAUUGGGCGUAAAGCGCGCGCAGGCGGUCCUUUAAGUCUGAUGUGAAAGCCCACGGCUUAACCGUGGAGGGCCAUUGGAAACUGGAGGACUUGAGUACAGAAGAGGAGAGUGGAAUUCCACGUGUAGCGGUGAAAUGCGUAGAGAUGUGGAGGAACACCAGUGGCGAAGGCGACUCUCUGGUCUGUAACUGACGCUGAGGUGCGAAAGCGUGGGUAGCGAACAGGAUUAGAUACCCUGGUAGUCCACGCCGUAAACGAUGAGUGCUAGGUGUUAGGGGGUUUCCGCCCCUUAGUGCUGAAGUUAACGCAUUAA